rnacentral:ncRNA from 1 species
CAAAGGCUUGGUCCUGACUUUAUUAUCAACUUUAGCCAAACUUACACAUGCAAGUAUCCGCACACCCGUGAGAAUGCCCUUACAGUUUCCUGCUCGGAAACAAGGAGCUGGUAUCAGGCACAUCAAUAAAAGCCCACGACGCCUUGCUCAGCCACACCCCCAAGGGAACUCAGCAGUGAUAAACAUUAAGCCAUAAGUGAAAACUUGACUUAGUCAAGGCUAAAAGAGCCGGUAAAACUCGUGCCAGCCACCGCGGUUAUACGAGAGGCUCAAGUUGAUAAACCCCGGCGUAAAGAGUGGUUAAGGAAAAAUAGAAACUAAAGCCGAAUGCUUUCAAGACUGUUAUACGUUCCCGAGAGUAAGAAGACCAAUUACGAAAGUGGCUUUACUUUACCUGACCCCACGAAAGCUACGACACAAACUGGGAUUAGAUACCCCACUAUGCCUAGCCCUAAACAUUGACAAUUCCAUACAUCUGUUGUCCGCCAGGAAACUACGAGCAUCAGCUUAAAACCCAAAGGACUUGGCGGUGCUUUAGAUCCACCUAGAGGAGCCUGUUCUAGAACCGAUAACCCCCGUUCAACCUCACCCUUCCUUGUUUAUCCCGCCUAUAUACCACCGUCGUCAGCUUACCCUGUGAAGGCCUCAUAGUAAGCACAAUUGGCACAGCCCAGAACGUCAGGUCGAGGUGUAGCGAAUGGAGGGGGAAGAAAUGGGCUACAUUCUUUAAUAGAAAGUAUACGAAUGACUGACUGAAAUGUCUUUCCGAAGGAGGAUUUAGCAGUAAGCAAGAAGUAGAGUGUCCUGCUGAAUUUGGCCCUGAAGCGCGCACACACCGCCCGUCACUCUCCCCAAGCCCAAGAACUUAUAAUAAUUAAAGACUAAUCAUUGCAAAGGGGAGGCAAGUCGUAACAUGGUAAGUGUACCGGAAGGUGCGCUUGGAAAAAUCAGAGUGUAGCUAAGACAGAAAAGCAUCUCCCUUACACCGAGAAGUCACCCGUGCAAAUCGAGUCACCCUGAGGCCCAACAGCUAGCCCCACAUCUAAAAGCAACCAACCAUCAUUUAUACCCCCAAACACACUAGUGUCUCUCAAACAAACCAUUUUUCCCCCUAAGUACGGGCGACAGAAAA